rnacentral:sRNA from 1 species
UGUAAAAACUGGGUCAGUUUUUUGGACAAUGUGCUGCUGCUUAUCCUAUUUCUAUAUGGUCUCUGCUUGGGGUGGUUAUGUAUUUAUCAUCAAUCUUAUUCCACUGCAUGUAUUUGUGUUGUUACUGAUGCAGAGAUACAGCAAAAGAGUCUACAUAGCAUAUAGCACUUUCUACAUUGUGGGUUUAAUAUUAUCAAUGCAGAUACCUUUUGUGGGAUUCCAGCCAAUCAGAACAAGUGAACACAUGGCAGCUGCAGGUGUCUUUGCAUUGCUGCAAGCUUAUGCUUUCUUGCAGUAUCUGAGAGACCGAUUAACAAAACAAGAGUUCCAGACCCUUUUCUUUUUGGGUGUAUCACUAGCUGCAGGUGCUGUGUUCCUUAGUGUCAUCUAUUUGACUUAUACAGGUUACAUUGCACCAUGGAGUGGCAGGUUUUACUCAUUGUGGGAUACUGGGUAUGCAAAAAUACACAUUCCAAUUAUUGCAUCAGUGUCUGAGCAUCAACCUACGACUUGGGUGUCUUUCUUCUUUGAUCUACAUAUUCUUGUAUGUACCUUCCCAGCAGGCCUUUGGUUCUGCAUCAAAAAUAUCAACGAUGAAAGAGUAUUUGGUAAGAGAGGUUUUUAAUGAAUACUUUGAUAUGGAAUAGUUAUUUUUCUUUUUGAGAUUAUUUACUUUAAAUUUUUGUUUUUCUAUGUUUGACUCUAUAUAUUCAAGAUAAAUUUUCUCCCUUAUUUUGCAUAGGUGCUUAACAAAGAAAAAUUCACUGAGAGGCUGGGCAUGGUGGCACACGCCUGUAAUCCCAGCACUUUGGGAGGCCGAGGCGGGCGGAUCACCUGAGGUCAGGAGUUCGAGACCAGCCUGGCCAACAUGGUGAAACCUUGUCUCUACUAAAAAUACAAAAAUUAGCCGAACAUGAUGGUGCAUGCCUGUAAUCCCAGCUACUCAGGAGGCUGAGGCAGGAGAAUUGCUUGAACCUGGGAGGCGGAGGUUGCAGUGAGUCAAGAUCAAGCCACUGCACUCCACCCUGGGAAUCAGAGUGAGACUCUGUCUCAAAAAAAAAAAAGAAAGAAAA